GAUGAACGCUGGCGGCGUGCCUAAUACAUGCAAGUCGAGCGAACAGAUAAGGAGCUUGCUCCUUUGACGUUAGCGGCGGACGGGUGGGUAACACGUGGGUAACCUACCUAUAAGACUGGAAUAACUCCGGGAAACCGGGGCUAAUGCCGGAUAACAUUUAGAACCGCAUGGUUCUAAAGUGAAAGAUGGUUUUGCUAUCACUUAUAGAUGGACCCGCGCCGUAUUAGCUAGUUGGUAAGGUAACGGCUUACCAAGGCAACGAUACGUAGCCGACCUGAGAGGGUGAUCGGCCACACUGGAACUGAGACACGGUCCAGACUCCUACGGGAGGCAGCAGUAGGGAAUCUUCCGCAAUGGGCGAAAGCCUGACGGAGCAACGCCGCGUGAGUGAUGAAGGUCUUCGGAUCGUAAAACUCUGUUAUUAGGGAAGAACAAAUGUGUAAGUAACUGUGCACGUCUUGACGGUACCUAAUCAGAAAGCCACGGCUAACUACGUG
rnacentral:rRNA from 1 species